rnacentral:rRNA from 1 species
UACGUAGGGGGCGAGCGUUGUCCGGAUUUAUUGGGCGUAAAGAGCUCGUAGGCGGCUCGGUAAGUCAGGUGUGAAAACUCUAGGCUCAACCUAGAGACGCCACCUGAUACUGCUGUGGCUAGAGUCCGGUAGGGGAGCAUGGAAUUCCUGGUGUAGCGGUGAAAUGCGCAGAUAUCAGGAGGAACACCAGUGGCGAAGGCGGUGCUCUGGGCCGGAACUGACGCUGAGGAGCGAAAGCGUGGGGAGCAAACAGG